CUGGGCAUGGGUGUGUCUAGCCUGAAUCAUUUGAAAUAUUCAAAUGAUUCAAUAAUGAAAGAUUAAAACAAACCGGAUAAGAUGUUAGAACUCUCCGAUCAGAUCAAGGAGGUGAAUACUUAUCCAGUGAGUUUGUGAUAUUUCUAGGAGAGAAUUGUUUUCUCUCUCAGUGGAUUCCUUUUUGCAACAAAGUGUAUCUAAAAGGAGAAGUUGAACUUUGUUGGAC
rnacentral:lncRNA from 1 species